GAUGAACGCUGGCGGCGUGCCUAAUACAUGCAAGUCGAGCGAACAGACGAGGAGCUUGCUCCUCUGACGUUAGCGGCGGACGGGUGAGUAACACGUGGAUAACCUACCUAUAAGACUGGGAUAACUUCGGGAAACCGGAGCUAAUACCGGAUAAUAUAUUGAACCGCAUGGUUCAAUAGUGAAAGACGGUUUUGCUGUCACUUAUAGAUGGAUCCGCGCCGCAUUAGCUAGUUGGUAAGGUAACGGCUUACCAAGGCAACGAUGCGUAGCCGACCUGGGAGGGUGAUCGGCCACACUGGAACUGAGACACGGUCCAGACUCCUACGGGAGGCAGCAGUAGGGAAUCUUCCUCAAUGGGCGAAAGCCUGACGGAGCAACGCCGCGUGAGUGAUGAAGGUCUUCGGAUCGUAAAACUCUGUUAUUAGGGAAGAACAAAUGUGUAAGUAACUAUGCACGUCUUGACGGUACCUAAUCAGAAAGCCACGGCUAACUACGUG
rnacentral:rRNA from 1 species